UACGAAGGGGGCUAGCGUUGCUCGGAAUUACUGGGCGUAAAGCGCACGUAGGCGGCUCUCUAAGUCGGGGGUGAAAUCCUGGAGCUCAACUCCAGAACUGCCUUCGAUACUGGAGAGCUCGAGUCCGGGAGAGGUGAGUGGAACUGCGAGUGUAGAGGUGAAAUUCGUAGAUAUUCGCAAGAACACCAGUGGCGAAGGCGGCUCACUGGCCCGGUACUGACGCUGAGACGCGAAAGCUAGGGGAGCGAACAGG
rnacentral:rRNA from 1 species